UAUAGGGAAUGAGGUUCUCCCAUGGUAUAAUACCUAAACCGCUUAUUCAAGCUGAUGACUUCUGCGAA
rnacentral:ncRNA from 1 species